ACACAUGCAAGUCGAGGGGCAGCGGGGAGGUAGCAAUACCUUUGCCGGCGACCGGCGCACGGGUGAGUAACACGUAUGCAAUCCACCUGUAACAGGGGGAUAACCCGGAGAAAUCCGGACUAAUACCCCAUAAUAUGGGCUCUCCGCAUGGAGGGUCCAUUAAAGAGAGCAAUCUUGGUUACAGACGAGCAUGCGCUCCAUUAGCCAGUUGGCGGGGUAACGGCCCACCAAGGCGACGAUGGAUAGGGGUUCUGAGAGGAAGGUCCCCCACAUUGGAACUGAGACACGGUCCAAACUCCUACGGGAGGCAGCAGUGAGGAAUAUUGGUCAAUGGUCGGCAGACUGAACCAGCCAAGUCGCGUGAGGGAAGACGGCCCUACGGGUUGUAAACCUCUUUUGUCGGAGAGUAAAGUGCGCUACGCGUAGCGUAUUGCAAGUAUCCGAAGAAAAAGCAUCGGCUAACUCCGUGCCAGCAGCCGCGGUAAUACGGAGGAUGCGAGCGUUAUCCGGAUUUAUUGGGUUUAAAGGGUGCGUAGGCGGCACGCCAAGUCAGCGGUGAAAUUUCCGGGCUCAACCCGGACUGUGCCGUUGAAACUGGCGAGCUAGAGUGCACAAGAGGCAGGCGGAAUGCGUGGUGUAGCGGUGAAAUGCAUAGAUAUCACGCAGAACCCCGAUUGCGAAGGCAGCCUGCUAGGGUGCGACAGACGCUGAGGCACGAAAGCGUGGGUAUCGAACAGGAUUAGAUACCCUGGUAGUCCACGCAGUAAACGAUGAAUACUAACUGUUUGCGAUACAAUGUAAGCGGUACAGCGAAAGCGUUAAGUAUUCCACCUGGGGAGUACGCCGGCAACGGUGAAACUCAAAGGAAUUGACGGGGGCCCGCACAAGCGGA
rnacentral:rRNA from 1 species